AUCACUAUAAUUUAUUUGACUAUCUUAUUAAUAUUUAAUGAAAAUUAUUUCCUACAACAUUGCGUAGUUGCUUAAUGCUGUCAGAAAAUGCCUGUCCUUCUCGAACUUCAUAAUAUUAGAAAGAGAUAUGGCAAUCGAUUUCCAUGAUUUCAUAUUUUGUCGGGGUUCUAUGUUGACAGUUUUAUUAAAAUUUUUAGUCUGCACUCUGUAUUAAUUUUAACUGUGGAAACUUUGCUGAUUUCUGUCCUAUUUUUUGUGUGAUUAUUUGUCUGUAUAUCAAAAUUGUUUGUUUCCCUAAUAUAAAUAAAUAAAAAAUAAAUAAAAAUAAAAAUAAAAUAUCUGUUUUCGCAAUAUACAUUAUUACACUUAACUCAAAAAGAAUUUGUUGUUGAAACCAAUGUUUUUGUCUUUUAAGCUACCUCUUUACGUUGGACAGAUGCUACUAUGUCAUGUCUACGCGGGUUGGGAGUUUAAAUAGGUACUCGUAUAAGCGGUUGCAUAUUUUAAUUUCGCACAUCAGUGCGGUCGGAAAACUACUGAUAGUUUUCUGUUUCUCUACGGCCAAUAGGUGCGGAGCAGUAAAGAAAAAUGUUGCACAAACAGGAAAUAUUAUUCAAACUAUUUUCACGCGUACGAAGUCGCGUGCGGGCACAGGCUAGUUGCAGAUAUUCGAGGGAUCCGAGCGAGAAACUCACACAUCUGGUGGAUACUGGUGGGGAUGGAAAAGCCCCCAAAGCAGCCCAAGUGGACCACGGUGUCGGAUUAUAGAAUUUAUCGGACUAUACAGUACUGCCUAUUAUAAUCCGGAAUUUUUCAAAGAAGAGUACCUUGUUUACCCAAAAUUGUGCAAAUAAAUAUUAUAAUUUGAAUUUGCAAAACGAAAUCAAAGAAAAUAGUUUUCUGAAAAUUAUACAAUCAACAUUAAAAAGCACGUCGGACUACACUGGGGGCGUUAGUUUGACGUUUAUACUAAGAUUAGUCAUAGUAUCAAUUUUGAUACGAUCACAAUCAAUAAAUAAGGUUAUUUCUUCUGUGACUGAAUAAGGAUGUUAUUCUUGAAUGGUUUAAUCUUAAUCUAAGAUACGGUGUAUUAUUACUAAUACAUUUAACGUCACUAAUUAUAUUAAUGUUUGUCAUGUAACACAUAAUACUCGUAGGUGUUGAUGUAAACACAUUUUGUAAGUAAAGGCGUCCUUAAAUGCCUGUAUUAAGAUUUAACGCUGUGCGACCUACUCGUUUGUCAGCUGCAGGCAUGCCAGUACUAGCUGGCUGACUUAAAUAAAUAAAUAACCAUAAACUGUAAAUUAAAACAAUAAACAAUUUUAUUCACUUAAAA